GGCAAGGGAUCGGGUGGGGGUGGGGUAGCCGCCGAUGUCCUGGGUGGCUUUGGGGGCGAUUUGCAAAGGCAUGCAUUUGUUGUUAAGAGCUCGGAGAAACAGUUUGGGGGAGCCUGUCACAGAUGCAAAGUCUGUUGAUAUUUCCAGGAGUGUUUGGUUUGGUUUGGGCUUUAGGGACCUACAGCAAGCAUCGAUUCUCGUGGAGGCGAACAACACUGACAGCUACUCUUUGUCUCUCGUCGGGAUUCUGAACAGAGCCCGACGUCGCUUCCAUUUCAGAGAUAUAUGCCGCUGACACUACCUUGAGAGAGCUCCUGCCUCCAUGGUUCCUGACCUGCCUAGAAGGGGAGGGCGCAGGAGACUCUUGUUCUACAGCUGUCCUCGGGAUGCCCUCAAUUCCCAGGCGCAGGGAUAAGCUUGUCUGACCCCAUUUGACCCCGCCGCAGGCGCCAGGCGUCCUCAUUUAUUGCGAGGCCUAAGAGUCCUCAAGGCUUACUGCCUGCCUACCCCCCUCCCCCACCACCCGCCGCUCUUCGUUUUUUGGUGUUUUGUUUUGUUUUGUUUUGUUUUUCCUCUCCUUGUCCUGUGCGGGAAUCAUAUGCCUCCUUCCUGUUGUCUAAGCUCCCCUCUUCCGUAGGCACAAACCUGCCCCCUCUGCGUUUUUUACCUUAAAACAGGUGUUCUGAGGAUUGUCUCUAGUUCUGGCGACGUCUUGAAAGAACUGAGUCUGAGCGAGGCAGACAGACGGCAGCAUUAGUGGUGAUGGAGCUGCACUGCUAAAUGUGGAGAUGGGAGGGGAAACACACCUGGGCUUCCACAGGGCAGGAGAAGAUCUGUCACUUGGGCAGAGCCUUUGAGUCGCACUCAGGUGAUCUCCAGGUAUCUUUUGUCUGUUUUAACCUGACAUUCAUUUGCAUCUAACAGGACUCCCGAAAGAAGCCUGGUGUAACUGAGUCUGGAAUUUUUGCUGGGCUUGCUAGGUCUACACUCUCCCACCUGUGCUCCGAGGAGAGGUGUAGACUAUCUCUUGGAUUUUGCUUGGAGGAUGUCCUUUCCGGACUCAGGACCUAGGAGAGACCAGCAGGAAACAGAACAGAGUCUACAUAGGUGAAUAUCAAAGAAUCACCUGGAGAGAUUUACAGACAACAGACUGGGACAAAAGGCCUGAGUCACAGACCAGUGAUUGGCAAAACAGAGAAGCUGAAGCAACUGUACAGCAAGCAGGAGCUCACACACGGGAGCCUACCUCUGGGAAUGCCGAGAAGUCAAUGCAAUGGUCACAUCUCAGGUUGUCUGGACACACAGACGGUUCACAAAUCCCGGGAUGGACCAGGAAGGCCAUUCAGUGAGAUUGUGUUGAACUGGGGAGUGGUGACAGUAAACAUUGACAUUAUGGUCCUACAUACAUAUCAUACGUUCCAUUAGUGUCCUACAUAAGUUAUAACCUGCUUACUCCUCCCAGUGCCCUUGAGAGAUCAGCCUGCUAAUUCCCACUCCAGAGUCAGGGAAGCUAAGUGCUGGGGACUCAGGAAACUUGACUGCGUUUAUAGCCAGUGAGUGGCAAAGCUGAUGUUUGAAUCCGUGUUUCGUGUUUCAGAGUCUUGGGAAGCUACGGUUUUUGUCCAUGGGGCUGAGUUGCUACACCACCCUAGAUGGUGGGCUGAGGGGCCUCUUCUGAUGAACUCCCUUCAGAAUGCAUUCCCUUCACAUCUGUUACCUCUUGCGGUGUGGGUCGCUGCUCUGUGGAAGUUGGACAGAACCCUUGGAACCUCCCGUGUGAUUCUGAAGUCUAGUGCAAACUCCAGUCAGUAAACUAAGAGAAACCAUUUUUAGUCAAAGGAAGCAAGGAACACUCCAACCAGCCCAGACUGACUUUCUUCUGUGGUUAAAAAUCUGGAUCUCCAUGUAAUUGCAACUGGG
rnacentral:lncRNA from 1 species